UCGGACAUGGUGUACGGUACACAGCCUCCUCUCUUCCGGUCGAUAUUGCCGAGUUGCACGAGGCAGUCCGGGGUUCGACUCCCCGUGUCCGAA